rnacentral:lncRNA from 1 species
AGCUCACUCUGUCACCAUGUAUGCAAUUAUAAAUCAUUUCUCUGGGUUUGACUUGUUUCCCUUUUCUCCACAGGGCGUGUGUGGAGACUACACUCACAGGAUGUUGCCCAUCACAGUGCGCAACAUGCCCUCAAUAAGCCCUCUAAUCCUAAAACGCCUAAAGCAGGGUGAACCUGGACUGCAAGGACCUCCUGGACCCCCAGGGGCCCCGGGCUUGAAUGGAGCUAAUGGACUACCAGUAAGUCACGUUUCUCCUUUAUUCUGGAAUCAAAGCCUCAUAGAUCAAUAAAUCACAGAUCAGUUGCUCGGAAAAAAACAAAAAAAAAAACAUGUUAGAAGA